UGAACAUAUUAUUGUAUUCGACUGUAUUCACGGCGUGAAAUAGGGGAUUAUAUUGUUUUUAAAACAAAAGGUGAAUCAAUUAACAUAAUAGACUCCU
rnacentral:pre_miRNA from 1 species